AUAGGGGUUCAAAUGGUUUGUCAUACUUUAGUGGCAUUUAGGGCAUAUAUAAGGUUUCAAAUGGUUUGUCUUACUUUAGUGUCAAAUAGGGUAUAGAUAGGGAAUAUUUAGGGGUUGAUAAGGAUUGUCUUCGCAUACCACUCAUUUAGGGAAUAUUAGGGGUUGAUAAAGAUUGUCACAACAGUUAAAUCGAGCAACUAAAUGUUUCAAAUAAAGUAAAAAAUAAAGAGUAACUACAAGAAUCAAAUACAAGAGUCAAAUAAGAGAGCCAAUAACAACCUAUUUCCUUAACAAGUCAUAAACAAAAGAACUUCAAUCAAGUUCCACUAGAGGAUUUGUGAUCGUCUUUGGAGGAGUGUAUUGUGUCAUUCUCAAAAUAAGCUCAUGAUCAUUGGCAGCUUCCCAUAGGUGGUAAGCAAUCUUUUGGAGCG
rnacentral:lncRNA from 1 species